AUACGUAGGUGGCAAGCGUUGUCCGGAAUUAUUGGGCGUAAAGCGCAUGUAGGCGGUAAUUUAAGUCUGUCGUGAAACUGCGGGGCUCAGCCCCGUAUGGCGAUGGAAACUGGAUUACUUGAGUGCAGGAGAGGAAAGGGGAACUCCCAGUGUAGCGGUGAAAUGCGUAGAUAUUGGGAAGAACACCGGUGGCGAAGGCGCCUUUCUGGACUGUGUCUGACGCUGAGAUGCGAAAGCCAGGGUAGCGAACGGGAUUAGAUACCCCGGUAGUCCUGGCCGUAAACGAUGGGUACUAGGUGUGGGAGGUAUCGACCCCUUCCGUGCCGGAGUUAACGCAAUAAGUACCCCGCCUGGGGAGUACGGCCGCAAGGCUUAAACUCAAAUGAAUUGACGGGG
rnacentral:rRNA from 1 species